rnacentral:rRNA from 1 species
GACGAACGCUGGCGGCGUGCUUAACACAUGCAAGUCGAACGGAAAGGCCUCUUUCGGGGGGUACUCGAGUGGCGAACGGGUGAGUAACACGUGAGUAACCUGCCCUUGACUUUGGGAUAACUUCAGUAAACUGGGGCUAAUACCGGAUAGGAGCUCCUGCUGCAUGGUGGGGGUUGGAAAGUUUCGGCGGUUGGGGAUGGGCUCGCGGCUUAUCAGCUUGUUGGUGGGGUAGUGGCUUACCAAGGCUUUGACGGGUAGCCGGCCUGGGAGGGUGACCGGCGACAUUGGGACUGAGAUACGGCCCAGGCGCGUACGGGAGGCAGCAGUGGGGAAUAUUGCACAAGGGGUGGAGGCCUGAUGCAGCAACGCCGUGUGCGGGAGGACGGCCUUCGGGUUGGAAACCGCUUUCGCUCAUGACGAAGCUUUGUGUGACGGUAGUGGGUAAAGAAGCACCGGCUAACUACGUG